GGUUGUGGGCCCUUUUUUGUGAAUGAAGCUCCACGGAACAGCCCUCCUGGGGUCCCCGGGCAUCGGGGACUGCCCUCCGCGCGCCCCUCCGCAGCGGCGUCCACGGCGGGCGGGCGCAGGUCCCCGAGGCAGUCCCGCCGCCCGCGCAGCUCCUGCGCCUCUGCCCAGCCCGCGGGCUGCGGGCACCUGGGGGCGGGCGGGGGGGCGCCGGCAGGGGCUGCGGCACGGGUCCCGCGGAGGCUGCGGAAGGGAGAGGGGCAGGCACGGGGGGCCUGGCCCCCCCUCCUGUGCGGCCGCCUCCUGCCGGGCUCGGCGGGCACCCGUCUUUCCCGUAGCGCCACUCUGCCCCCAGUGCCCCGAGUCCACGAGCGUGGCUGGCAGGGGCCUCCGUGGGCGAGCAGGCGCGCGGGACCAUGGUGGUGGCCCCCUGAGGGGCCGCGGCCGCCUCCAUGAAGCGGAAGAACGAGAGGCAGCUGAGCUGGGCCACCGCGCCCCCCUGCUCCAGGCGCCGCUCGUCGUCCUCCCUGGGAGCGAAGAAGAGCCGCAGCUCCGUGUCGCAGGAACAGCGUCACGUGGACCAGCGGGACGACCUGUACCUGAACAUCUCCGCUCUUCAUGGAUACUGCACCAAAAAAGAUCGCCUUUGUUUUGCCAUUCUCUGCAGCAGACCAAAGAGUUCAUCAAAUGUACAUUAUUUCACCAUAGAUAAUGAACUUGAAUAUGAGAACUUCUACGCAGAUUUUGGACCACUCAAUCUGGCAAUGCUUUACAGAUAUUGUUGCAAGAUAAAUAAGAAAUUAAAGUCCAUUACAAUGAUAAGGAAGAAAAUUGUUCAUUUUACUGGCCCUGAUCAGAGAAAACAAGCAAAUGCUGCUUUCCUUAUUGGAUGCUACAUGGUUAUAUAUCUGGGGAGAACUCCCGAAGAAGCACAUUCAGUAUUAAUGCUCGGCGAUACAACCUACAUUCCUUUCAGAGACGCUGCCUAUGGGAGCUGCAAUUUCUUCAUUACCCUUCUGGACUGUUUCCACGCGGUGAAGAAGGCAAUGCAGUAUGGCUUCUUUAAUUUCAACUCAUUCAGACUUGAUGAAUAUGAACACUAUGAAAAAGCAGAAAAUGGAGAUUUAAAUUGGAUAAUACCAGGCCGAUUCAUUGCCUUCUGUGGACCUUAUUCAAAAACCAGACUUGAAAAUGGUUACUACCAACAUUCUCCUGAGGCUUACAUUCCCUAUUUUAAGAAUCACAACGUUACUACCAUUAUCCGUCUGAAUAAAAGGAUGUAUAAUGCCAAACAAUUUACGAAUGCUGGUUUCGAUCACUAUGAUCUUUUCUUUGCGGAUGGCAGCACCCCUACUGAUGCGAUCGUCAAAGAAUUUCUGGAUAUAUGUGAAAGUGCCGAGGGCGCCAUUGCAGUGCAUUGUAAAGCUGGCCUUGGACGCACGGGCACCCUGAUAGCCUGCUACAUCAUGAAGCAUUACAGGAUGACCGCGGCCGAGGCCAUCGCCUGGAUCAGGAUCUGCAGGCCUGGCUCCGUGAUCGGGCCUCAGCAGCAGUUCUUGGUGACGAAACAGUCAAGCCUCUGGUUGGAAGGAGACUAUUUCCGUCAAAAGUUAAGGGGUCAGGAGAACGGCAAACACAGAGCAGCCGUCUCAAAGCUCCUCUUGGCCGUGGACGACAUUUCACUCCAUGGGGCCAAGCAUCACGACAAGCAGGAACCUGAGCUGUACAGCGAUGACGACGAAAGCUACGGCGUGACGCAAGGGGAUCGACUCCGGGCCCUGAAAAGCAGAAGACGGUCCAAAGCGAGUGCGGUGCCCCUCACAUGUUCCCUAGCUGUGCUGACCUCUGCACUGUGUAGUGUUGUCAUCUGGUGGAUUGUUUGUGACUACAUUCUUCCCAUCCUGCUAUUCUGUCUCGAUGGUUUAAGAGCACAGUAGCCAUCGGACCCUUUGACACAUAGCUGCUGUAUGCUUUCCCCUUGCGAACAGCCCUGGACCUUCCUUCUCAGCUCUGCGCUGCCGUCUGGUCUCUGAGAACCCUGACGGGUGUGCGUGAGCUGCUCUGGUGGAGCCGGCCUCCAGAUCGGAAUUGGUUUUCUGACUCUGCUUUUGCAUUAGUUUUUCUCUGAAAGCUGCUAUUUAGCUGAAGGUAAUAAAUUGUGGGAGGAAGCUAGGGAGGUAGCGUGAGGAUGAAUCAAGGGCAGUGAUUGAGGGCAGCCCGGGGUGGCUCUGGCGCCGGUGCCAGGCGGCCCCUGAGGGCUGCACUGCGCUGGGCUGAGCUGAGCUGUAAGCUGCCUGUGGCGCCCACCGUUCUGUGACCGAAUCCUGGCUUUGGGAAUAACCGAGUAACACUUCUUUAUCUUUUCGUUCUUUUCGCUCUUCCCACAGCCUGGUUCCUCAGAGGGAAAGAAGGAAAAGGAGUGCUUUGCAGCAAAUGCCCCUAAUGGCAUUAUGUCCCCCCAUUCCGAGGACUAAGACAGUGUUGCGUUAAGUAGAAACCUGUGACCAGAACUGAAGGAAGACUGGGAACAGAACCACAUCAGGACUUAGCACAAUUUAUUUGGAAACUAAACAAAAUUGCAAAAGCCUUAGCUGCUUUCCACCUAAGAAGCUGUUCAGUGAAGAAACUGCCCCCUGGAGUUUAAAUCGCCGCACGGGCUUGGGAACAGUGGGACUGGAAGAGGUCGGCUCGCCGUUGGUAGACGCGCCACGUGGAGCAGCUGCACACGUCGUCUCAGGUGUAAGCGCCGGGGCCGCGCGGCGGGAGCUGGCGCUCUGGUGCAUGUCCCUGCGGUGGCAGCGUUCGCCGCUGGCCUCGGAGGACGGGUCUGAGGAGGCCUUUCACCUGUUUGUUUUCUGUUCGCCCUGCGCCCGAAUGUACGGAGAUGGAGCAGGCCUUGCCGAAACGGUCCUCAGAGAUGGACUGUUUGGUGUCGUCCUCUUCACCGUAAUGCUUGUGACACUGUGUCACGUUGCCGGGUAAGCCCCGAGCUGCUCGCGUCCCACCGAAGAGAGCUUUAUCCCGGAGGCCGUGUGAGCUCUGCGUGCGGACACGGGGCGCCGGGACCUCACACCUGCCGGCGCCUGGGCAGUAGCCACAGACUCAGGAGGGGAAGCUGGCCUCGGCUGGCAGGCGUGGAGUCACGCCUUUGGUGUUAUUUGGGGAAGGAAGAAUUCCAAGGCUGCCCACUAUUUGGUUGCCGGGUCAUAUAAAUUAAAACCGUAUUUCCUUCAGUGCAUGAAAAACCCACACCUGUCCUUGGAAACAGAGAUUCCAAAUACCGGGCGCUUAAAGAAGCCGACUGUUUUAUUAGGGCCUUUCUCUGUAGCAUGAUGGAUUUCAGCGACAGUAUUCACAUCUGGAUUUCAGUUUGUACUAAGACCCUCACUGUGGCCUUCGGUUAGGGAAUCAACUCUGCAGAGUGCCUUCUCUCCUCCCCCUGCAGCAGCACAGCGGGGUCUGAUGCAAAGCAAUCACACA